ACUCAAAUGAAUUGACGGGGGCCCGCACAAGCAGCGGAGCAUGUGGUUUAAUUCGAAGCAACGCGAAGAACCUUACCUAGACUUGACAUCUCCUGAAUUACCCGUAACUGGGGAAGCCCUUCGGGGCAGGAAGACAGGUGGUGCAUGGUUGUCGUCAGCUCGUGUCGUGAGAUGUUGGGUUAAGUCCCGCAACGAGCGCAACCCUUAUCAUUAGUUGCUACCAUUUGGUUGAGCACUCUAGUGAGACUGCCCGGGUUAACCGGGAGGAAGGUGGGGAUGACGUCAAAUCAUCAUGCCCCUUAUGUCUAGGGCUACACACGUGCUACAAUGGUAGGUACAACAAGACGCGAUACCGUGAGGUGGAGCAAAACUGUAAAACCUAUCCCAGUUCGGAUUGUAGGCUGAAACUCGCCUACAUGAAGCCGGAGUUGCUAGUAAUCGCGAAUCAGCAUGUCGCGGUGAAUACGUUCCCGGGCCUUGUACACACCGCCCGU
rnacentral:rRNA from 1 species